rnacentral:rRNA from 1 species
UACGAAGGGGGCUAGCGUUGCUCGGAAUCACUGGGCGUAAAGGGUGAGUAGGCGGGUCUUUAAGUCAGGGGUGAAAUCCUGGAGCUCAACUCCAGAACUGCCUUUGAUACUGAGGAUCUUGAGUUCGGGAGAGGUGAGUGGAACUGCGAGUGUAGAGGUGAAAUUCGUAGAUAUUCGCAAGAACACCAGUGGCGAAGGCGGCUCACUGGCCCGAUACUGACGCUGAGGCACGAAAGCGUGGGGAGCAAACAGG